UACGAAGGGGGCUAGCGUUGCUCGGAAUCACUGGGCGUAAAGCGCACGUAGGCGGAUUGCUAAGUCAGGGGUGAAAUCCUGGAGCUCAACUCCAGAACUGCCUUUGAUACUGGCGACCUUGAGUCCGGGAGAGGUGAGUGGAACUGCGAGUGUAGAGGUGAAAUUCGUAGAUAUUCGCAAGAACACCAGUGGCGAAGGCGGCUCACUGGCCCGGUACUGACGCUGAGGUGCGAAAGCGUGGGUAGCAAACAGG
rnacentral:rRNA from 1 species